GAUAUGUCAAGAAACCCUUAUAACAUUCCAUUCAAGAGAGGGUUCAUUGAGCUUUUUCACCAUUCAGAUGGGAUCACGGUUCAAGAAGGCACUGGUUUCUGA
rnacentral:sRNA from 1 species